rnacentral:rRNA from 1 species
GCUCAGGAUGAACGCUAGCUACAGGCUUAACACAUGCAAGUCGAGGGGCAGCAUGAACUUAGCUUGCUAAGUUUGAUGGCGACCGGCGCACGGGUGAGUAACACGUAUCCAACCUGCCGAUGACUCGGGGAUAGCCUUUCGAAAGAAAGAUUAAUACCCGAUGGCAUAGUUCUUCCGCAUGGUGGAACUAUUAAAGAAUUUCGGUCAUCGAUGGGGAUGCGUUCCAUUAGGUUGUUGGCGGGGUAACGGCCCACCAAGCCUUCGAUGGAUAGGGGUUCUGAGAGGAAGGUCCCCCACAUUGGAACUGAGACACGGUCCAAACUCCUACGGGAGGCAGCAGUGAGGAAUAUUGGUCAAUGGACGCGAGUCUGAACCAGCCAAGUAGCGUGAAGGAUGACUGCCCUAUGGGUUGUAAACUUCUUUUAUAAAGGAAUAAAGUCGGGUAUGUAUACCCGUUUGCAUGUACUUUAUGAAUAAGGAUCGGCUAACUCCGUGCCAGCAGCCGCGGUAAUACGGAGGAUCCGAGCGUUAUCCGGAUUUAUUGGGUUUAAAGGGAGCGUAGGCGGACGCUUAAGUCAGUUGUGAAAGUUUGCGGCUCAACCGUAAAAUUGCAGUUGAUACUGGGUGUCUUGAGUACAGUAGAGGCAGGCGGAAUUCGUGGUGUAGCGGUGAAAUGCUUAGAUAUCACGAAGAACUCCGAUUGCGAAGGCAGCUUACUGGAUUGUAACUGACGCUGAUGCUCGAAAGUGUGGGUAUCAAACAGGAUUAGAUACCCUGGUAGUCCACACAGUAAACGAUGAAUACUCGCUGUUUGCGAUAUACAGUAAGCGGCCAAGCGAAAGCGUUAAGUAUUCCACCUGGGGAGUACGCCGGCAACGGUGAAACUCAAAGGAAUUGACGGGGGCCCGCACAAGCGGAGGAACAUGUGGUUUAA